GAAGGCGCUCCACUGGAAAGAGCUAAUUCCCAGAGUCACCAGCAGGAGGCGCCACAGGGAAACAUCCUAUCACAGAAGACUUGGUUCACAGCAUAUUGAAAGCUAGUGGGUACCACCAGACAAGCAAUAACAUAUCCAGAUGGCAUUUCUUGGCCUGUAUGGAGUAAAGUGGGGAGCAUGUCAGCAGACACUGGAGACUGAGGGGGAACAGAGACACUGCUCCUUGGGGCACAGAACUGACUGG